rnacentral:rRNA from 1 species
GGGGAAUCUUCCGCAAUGGACGAAAGUCUGACGGAGCAACGCCGCGUGAACGAUGACGGCCUUCGGGUUGUAAAGUUCUGUUAUACGGGACGAAUGGCGUAGCGGUCAAUACCCGUUACGAGUGACGGUACCGUAAGAGAAAGCCACGGCUAACUACGUGCCAGCAGCCGCGGUAAUACGUAGGUGGCAAGCGUUGUCCGGAAUUAUUGGGUGUAAAGGGAGCGUAGACGGUAAAGCAAGUCUGAAGUGAAAGCCCGCGGCUCAACUGCGGGACUGCUUUGAAACUGUUUAACUGGAGUGUCGGACAGGUAAGUGGAAUUCCUAGUGUAGCGGUGAAAUGCGUAGAUAUUAGGAGGAACACCAGUGGCGAAGGCGACUUACUGGACGAUAACUGACGUUGAGGCUCGAAAGCGUGGGGAGCAAACA